ensembl:lncRNA
GGAUGCUUCAGAUCUGUGGUGGUUCUCCCACCAACUGGCCUAAUCUCCAUCUGUGGGAUGCUGCUGCUGCUGACCUUCCUCCAGCCCACUGCUUCCAGCUUCCCAUUUCCAUCAAUCUACUCUGCAUCACCCUCACUAUACUUGAUUUGCUCAUCUACAUAUUUUUGAAUUUACCACCAGCUAUAUAUAUAUAUAUAUAUAUAUAUAGUAUAUUUAAUGCCAGAGCCAUACACCAUAGCAGUAAACUAUAAUCAGUUUCCAGCCCAGAGGGAUAUAUGCGCAGAUUUUUUUAAAUACCAUGAAGAAGACUAUAUACAGGAAGAUGAGGUAUCAGUUCUUGCACAUAGAUAUACAACAGUCCUUUAUUACUCCCCAGGUCAGGGGAAAUUUCCAGUGUUAGAGCAGCAAAAAUCUUUCAGAGCAGCACUAACUACAGUUUACUACAGUAAAGAUAAUUAUAAUAACAAUAAUAUAUACAAGAAUGAAAAAUGAAUAAAUACAGUAUUACUACACUAUAAGUGACAUCAGCAUAAAGUGGCUUGUGGAAUACAUUUAAAGUGCAGAAAAUGCCAGCAGUACAAGGAGUUGUGGAUAUUUUCUCAAAACAGGGACAGAGAUUUGUGUCUGAGUCUCUGCUGUCAUCUAAUCUCUCUCAUGCAAGAUCAUGUCACAGGAGGGGGCGCUACUGGCCUCUUGUGGACACAGGCGCAGAGGCUCAUGGGUAACGUGGUUCUGAGGCAGCCAGGAGCAGAGGCUCAUGGGUAACGUGUCUCUGAGCCAGCCAGGAGCAGAGGCUCAUGGGUAACG